rnacentral:rRNA from 1 species
UACGAAGGGGGCUAGCGUUGCUCGGAAUGACUGGGCGUAAAGGGCGCGUAGGCGGAUGGCACAGUCAGAUGUGAAAUUCCCGGGCUUAACCUGGGGGCUGCAUUUGAUACGUGUUGUCUUGAGUUCGGAAGAGGGUCGUGGAAUUCCCAGUGUAGAGGUGAAAUUCGUAGAUAUUGGGAAGAACACCGGUGGCGAAGGCGGCGACCUGGUCCGACACUGACGCUGAGGCGCCGAAAGCGUGGGGGAGCAAACAGG